rnacentral:rRNA from 1 species
AAUAGAUACCCAGGUAGUCCACGCCGUAAACUAUGGAUGCUAGCUGUUAGAAGUAUCGACCCUUCUAGUAGCGAAGCUAACGCGUUAAGCAUCCCGCCUGUGGAGUACGAGCGCAAGCUUAAAACAUAAAGGAAUUGACGGGGACCCGCACAAGCGGUGGAGCGUGUUGUUUAAUUCGAUGGUAAGCGAAGAACCUUACCCAGGCUUGACAUCCUUGGAAGGCAUCCGAAAGGAUACUGUGCCCUCGGGAACCAAGUGACAGGUGAUGCAUGGCCGUCGUCAGCUCGUGUCGUGAGAUGUUUGGUUAAGUCCAUCAACGAGCGCAACCCUUGUUGUCUGUUGUAUUUUUCAGGCAAGACUGCCCUGGUAACAGGGAGGAAGGAGGGGAUGAUGUCAGGUCAGUAUUUCCCUUACGUCUGGGGCUACAAACACGCUACAAUGGCCGGUACAAAGCGCUGCCAACCCGCGAGGGGGAGCAAAUCGCAUCAAAGCCGGUCUCAGUUCGGAUAGCAGGCUGAAACUCGCCUG